AACGAACGCUGGCGGCAGGCUUAACACAUGCAAGUCGAGCGAAGACUUCGGUCUUAGCGGCGGACGGGUGAGUAACACGUGGGUGACCUGCCCUCAGCUCUGGGAUAAGCCUGGGAAACCGGGUCUAAUACCGGAUACGACCAUUGGAUGCAUGUCUGGUGGUGGAAAGUUUUUUCGGCUGGGGAUGGGCCCGCGGCCUAUCAGCUUGUUGGUGGGGUGAUGGCCUACCAAGGCGGUGACGGGUAGCCGGCCUGAGAGGGCGACCGGCCACACUGGGACUGAGACACGGCCCAGACUCCUACGGGAGGCAGCAGUGGGGAAUAUUGCGCAAUGGGCGGAAGCCUGACGCAGCGACGCCGCGUGGGGGAUGACGGCCUUCGGGUUGUAAACCUCUUUCGCCAGGGACGAAGCUUUUGUGACGGUACCUGGAGAAGAAGCACCGGCCAACUACGUGCCAGCAGCCGCAGUAAAAC
rnacentral:rRNA from 1 species